rnacentral:tRNA from 1 species
GGGGGUGUGGCUUAGUGGUAGAGUGCUUGCCUAGCAAACAUGAAGCCCUAGGUUCGAUUCCUCAGUACCA